GACGUAGGGCGCGAGCGUUGUCCGGAUUUAUUGGGCGUAAAGGGUGUGUAGGUGGCGCCGUAAGUCGGGUGUGAAAUUUCGGAGCUUAACUCCGAAACUGCAUUCGAUACUGCGGUGCUUGAGGACUGGAGAGGAGACUGGAAUUCAUGGUGUAGCAGUGAAAUGCGUAGAGAUCAUGAGGAAGACCAGUGGCGAAGGCGGGUCUCUGGACAGUUCCUGACACUGAGACACGAAGGCCAGGGGAGCAAACGGG
rnacentral:rRNA from 1 species